CUUAGAUCAACAGUGCAAGGAAUGGCUUUGUGAUCGUAGACCCACUACCCUCACAGAGGCCGCUAGGUUAGCUGAUGAACAUCGUGAUUCACGGUUACACGAAAGUAACAACUACUGACCAACAAUUCAUUCCGAAAGCCGGGAGAACUACCGAACAAUGUCCCGACCUGACUUCAGGGCUCCAGUGCCAGCAGGACCUACC